rnacentral:rRNA from 1 species
AGAAGGUUCUUUCGGGAACUGGAGAGUGGCGCACGGGUGAGUAACGCGUGGGGACCUACCUCUUAGUGGGGGAUAACGGAUGGAAACGACCGCUAAUACCGCAUACGCCCUUCGGGGGAAAGAUUUAUCGCUAAGAGAUGGACCCGCGUUGGAUUAGAUAGUUGGUGAGGUAACGGCUCACCAAGUCAGCGAUCCAUAGCUGGUUUGAGAGGAUGAUCAGCCACACUGGGACUGAGACACGGCCCAGACUCCUACGGGAGGCAGCAGUGGGGAAUAUUGGACAAUGGGCGGAAGCCUGAUCCAGGCAUGCCGCGUGAGUGAAGAAGGCCUUCGGGUUGUAAAGCUCUUUCAGAU